rnacentral:tRNA from 1 species
GAGACUGUAGCUCAGAUGGAUAGAGCAACGUAAAAACACUUUAUUAGGUUUUAAUCUGCUAUGGCAGGUGUGAUGAUAGAGUUACUUCGCAUUCCACGCCGUAGGUCGCCGGUUCGAGUCCGGCCAGUCUUU